rnacentral:rRNA from 1 species
AGAGAGAGACAUGCGCGCAUAUCAAUAAGCGGAGGAAAAGAAACUAACAAGGAUUCCCCUAGUAACGGCGAGUGAAGCGGGAAGAGCUCAAAUUUGAAAUCUUAAAGGGUUUCCCUUUACGAAUUGUAGUUUAAAGAAGUGUUUUCUGUUGAGGUUUUGGUAAAAGUUCUUUGGAAUAGGACAUCAUAGAGGGUGAGAAUCCCGUAUUUGACCUUUACUUUCAACUUUGUGAUACACUUUCAAGGAGUCGGAUUGUUUGGGAAUGCAGUCCAAAAUGGGUGGUAAAUUUCAUCUAAAGCUAAAUAUUGGCGAGAGACCGAUAGCGGAACAAGUACCGUGAGGGAAAGAUGAAAAGAACUUUGAAAAGAGAGUUAAACAGUACGUGAAAUUGUCAAAAGGGAAGCGUUUGACACCAGUGUUGUUUUUCUGAAAAUCAAUUAAAGAACUGUUUAUGCUAAGCUGUUUAGACUUUAUCAGCUAAUCUGUUUAGUUUUGAGCUUUUCUUUAAUGCACUUUUCAGUUAACAAGUCAACAUCAAUUUCUUUUGCUGUAAAAAAGCUUGAGGAAGGUGGCUUGAGAUUCGUCUUAAGUGUUUAUAGCCUCUUGCCUAUGCAGUCGGAGAGAUUGAGGUCUGCAGCGUAGAUCCUUCGGGGCUAAAUGCAUUUGUGCUAAGUUAUAGCAUUUUAUAGACAACUUGUUGACUAUGAUUUGUCUUGUAGCUUACUCGCUUAUGUUAUUUUACCUACGCUUAGGAUGUUGACGCAUGAGAUAUACGC